rnacentral:tRNA from 1 species
GCGUCCCUAGCUCAACUGGCAGAGCAACGGACUCUUAAUCCGUAGGUUCCGGGUUCGAUUCCCGGGGGACGUACCA